rnacentral:rRNA from 1 species
AGUGAACGCUGGCGGUAGGCCUAACACAUGCAAGUCGAACGGCAGCACAGUAAGAGCUUGCUCUUACGGGUGGCGAGUGGCGGACGGGUGAGGAAUACAUCGGAAUCUACUUUUUCGUGGGGGAUAACGUAGGGAAACUUACGCUAAUACCGCAUACGACCUACGGGUGAAAGCAGGGGAUCUUCGGACCUUGCGCGAUUGAAUGAGCCGAUGUCGGAUUAGCUAGUUGGCGGGGUAAAGGCCCACCAAGGCGACGAUCCGUAGCUGGUCUGAGAGGAUGAUCAGCCACACUGGAACUGAGACACGGUCCAGACUCCUAAGGGAGGCAGCAGUGGGGAAUAUUGGACAAUGGGCGCAAGUCUGAUCCAGCCAUACCGCGUGGGUGAAGAAGGCCUUCGGGUUGUAAAGACCUUUUGUUGGGAAAGAAAAGCAGCAGGUUAAUACCCCGCUGUUCUGACGGUACCCAAAGAAUAAGCACCGGCUAACUUCGUG